rnacentral:rRNA from 1 species
UACGGGGGGCGCAAGCGUUGUUCGGAUUUACUGGGCGUAAAGGGCGCGUAGGCGGUCAGCACAAGUCAGUUGUGAAAUCUCCGGGCUUAACUCGGAAAGGUCAACUGAUACUGUGCGACUAGAGUGCGGAAGGGGCAACUGGAAUUCUCGGUGUAGCGGUGAAAUGCGUAGAUAUCGAGAGGAACACCUGCGGCGAAGGCGGGUUGCUGGGCCGACACUGACGCUGAUGCGCGAAAGCGUGGGGAGCGAACAGG